AAUCAACGCUGGCGGCGUGCCUAACACAUGCAAGUCGAACGAGAAAGUGGAGCAAUCCAUGAGUAAAGUGGCGCACGGGUGAGUAACACGUGACUAACCUACCUUUUAGUGGGGGAUAACCUAGGGAAACCUGGGCUAAUACCGCAUAAUACCUACGGGUCAAAGCAGCAAUGCGCUGAAAGAGGGGGUCGCGGCCGAUUAGCCAGUUGGCGGGGUAAUGGCCCACCAAGGCGAUGAUCGGUAUCCGGCCUGAGAGGGCGCACGGACACACUGGAACUGAAACACGGUCCAGACUCCUACGGGAGGCAGCAGUGGGGAAUUUUGCGCAAUGGGGGAAACCCUGACGCAGCAACGCCGCGUGGAGGAUGAAGUCCCUUGGGACGUAAACUCCUUUCGAUCGGGAAGAUAAUGACGGUACCGGAAGAAGAAGCCCCGGCUAACUUCGUGCCAGCAGCCGCGGUAAUACGAGGGGGGCAAGCGUUGUUCGGAAUUAUUGGGCGUAAAGGGUGCGUAGGUGGUUCGGCAAGUCUUGUGUGAAAUCUCAGGCUCACUUGAAGUCUGACAGAAACUGCCGGGCUUGAGUAUG
rnacentral:rRNA from 1 species